AAUACGUAAGUGAGUAAACAAGUAAGCAAAUAAGAAAACAAGUAAGUAAAUAAAAAAGUAAGUAAGUAAACAAGUAAGUAAACAGGUAAACAAGAAGGUAAGGAAGUAAAUAAGCAAAUAGAAAACACGUAAGUAAACAAGUAAGUAGAUAAGUAAAUAAGUAAGUAAAUAAGUAAAUAAGUAAGCACUUACUGACUGACUUGCUGAAGUGAGUAAGUAAAUAAGUAUUUAAGUAAGUAUGAAAGGAAGUAAGUGAAUAAAUAAGUAUGUAAGGAAGUCAGCAGGGUAUGUAAAACGUAAGUAUAGAAAUAUCUAAAUACAUAUGCAAGGAAGCAGUUUUAACACACAGGAAAUAAGAAACAUUCGCUUCUAAAAAUAAUAACGCAUCACCGGAACGUGUAGCGCCUCCGGGAUAACAAGCUUCUGAAGGAAGAAAUCAAACGAGAUAUCUUGAGGCUCAUACACAAGGCGGAAUCUGUGAAAUAUCCAAACACGACGCCUGCAAAACACACGGCCGCUUAAUGGAGCAAGACCUAACGAUUAGGAGACGCUGACUGAUGAGAUUAAGAUGUUAACGCUGCUUUACGG
ensembl:lncRNA